rnacentral:rRNA from 1 species
UUACAUUCAUAUGUCUGGUGACUAUAGCAAGGAGGUCACACCUGUUCCCAAGAAGGCACACCCGGAGAACUGAAACAUCUUAGUACCCGGAGGAAGAGAAAGAAAAUUCGAUUCCCUUAGUAGCGGCGAGCGAAACGGGAAGAGCCCAAACCAACAAGCUUGCUUGUUGGGGUUGUAGGACACUCUAUACGGAGUUACAAAGGACGACAUUAGACGAAUCAUCUGGAAAGAUGAAUCAAAGAAGGUAAUAAUCCUGUAGUCGAAAAUGUUGUCUCUCUUGAGUGGAUCCUGAGUACGACGGAGCACGUGAAAUUCCGUCGGAAUCUGGGAGGACCAUCUCCUAAGGCUAAAUACUCUCUAGUGACCGAUAGUGAACCAGUACCGUGAGGGAAAGGUGAAAAGCACCCCGGAAGGGGAGUGAAAUAGAACCUGAAACCGUGUGCUUACAAGUAGUCAGAGCCCGUUAAUGGGUGAUGGCGUGCCUUUUGUAGAAUGAACCGGCGAGUUACGAUUUGAUGCAAGGUUAAGCAGUAAAUGUGGAGCCGUAGCGAAAGCGAGUCUGAAUAGGGCGUUUAGUAUUUGGUCGUAGACCCGAAACCAGGUGAUCUACCCUUGGUCAGGUUGAAGUUCAGGUAACACUGAAUGGAGGACCGAACCGACUUACGUUGAAAAGUGAGCGGAUGAACUGAGGGUAGCGGAGAAAUUCCAAUCGAACCUGGAGAUAGCUGGUUCUCUCCGAAAUAGCUUUAGGGCUAGCCUCAAGUGAUGAUUAUUGGAGGUAGAGCACUGUUUGGACGAGGGGCCCCUCUCGGGUUACCGAAUUCAGACAAACUCCGAAUGCCAAUUAAUUUAACUUGGGAGUCAGAACAUGGGUGAUAAGGUCCGUGUUCGAAAGGGAAACAGCCCAGACCACCAGCUAAGGUCCCAAAAUAUAUGUUAAGUGGAAAAGGAUGUGGCGUUGCCCAGACAACUAGGAUGUUGGCUUAGAAGCAGCCAUCAUUUAAAGAGUGCGUAAUAGCUCACUAGUCGAGUGACACUGCGCCGAAAAUGUACCGGGGCUAAACAUAUUACCGAAGCUGUGGAUUGUCCUUUGGACAAUGGUAGGAGAGCGUUCUAAGGGCGUUGAAGCAUGAUCGUAAGGACAUGUGGAGCGCUUAGAAGUGAGAAUGCCGGUGUGAGUAGCGAAAGACGGGUGAGAAUCCCGUCCACCGAUUGACUAAGGUUUCCAGAGGAAGGCUCGUCCGCUCUGGGUUAGUCGGGUCCUAAGCUGAGGCCGACAGGCGUAGGCGAUGGAUAACAGGUUGAUAUUCCUGUACCACCUAUAAUCGUUUUAAUCGAUGGGGGGACGCAGUAGGAUAGGCGAAGCGUGCGAUUGGAUUGCACGUCUAAGCAGUAAGGCUGAGUAUUAGGCAAAUCCGGUACUCGUUAAGGCUGAGCUGUGAUGGGGAGAAGACAUUGUGUCUUCGAGUCGUUGAUUUCACACUGCCGAGAAAAGCCUCUAGAUAGAAAAUAGGUGCCCGUACCGCAAACCGACACAGGUAGUCAAGAUGAGAAUUCUAAGGUGAGCGAGCGAACUCUCGUUAAGGAACUCGGCAAAAUGACCCCGUAACUUCGGGAGAAGGGGUGCUCUUUAGGGUUAACGCCCAGAAGAGCCGCAGUGAAUAGGCCCAAGCGACUGUUUAUCAAAAACACAGGUCUCUGCUAAACCGUAAGGUGAUGUAUAGGGGCUGACGCCUGCCCGGUGCUGGAAGGUUAAGAGGAGUGGUUAGCUUCUGCGAAGCUACGAAUCGAAGCCCCAGUAAACGGCGGCCGUAACUAUAACGGUCCUAAGGUAGCGAAAUUCCUUGUCGGGUAAGUUCCGACCCGCACGAAAGGCGUAACGAUUUGGGCACUGUCUCAACGAGAGACUCGGUGAAAUCAUAGUACCUGUGAAGAUGCAGGUUACCCGCGACAGGACGGAAAGACCCCGUGGAGCUUUACUGUAGCCUGAUAUUGAAAUUCGGCACAGCUUGUACAGGAUAGGUAGGAGCCUUUGAAACGUGAGCGCUAGCUUACGUGGAGGCGCUGGUGGGAUACUACCCUAGCUGUGUUGGCUUUCUAACCCGCACCACUUAUCGUGGUGGGAGACAGUGUCAGGCGGGCAGUUUGACUGGGGCGGUCGCCUCCUAAAAGGUAACGGAGGCGCUCAAAGGUUCCCUCAGAAUGGUUGGAAAUCAUUCAUAGAGUGUAAAGGCAUAAGGGAGCUUGACUGCGAGACCUACAAGUCGAGCAGGGUCGAAAGACGGACUUAGUGAUCCGGUGGUUCCGCAUGGAAGGGCCAUCGCUCAACGGAUAAAAGCUACCCCGGGGAUAACAGGCUUAUCUCCCCCAAGAGUUCACAUCGACGGGGAGGUUUGGCACCUCGAUGUCGGCUCAUCGCAUCCUGGGGCUGUAGUCGGUCCCAAGGGUUGGGCUGUUCGCCCAUUAAAGCGGUACGCGAGCUGGGUUCAGAACGUCGUGAGACAGUUCGGUCCCUAUCCGUCGUGGGCGUAGGAAAUUUGAGAGGAGCUGUCCUUAGUACGAGAGGACCGGGAUGGACAUACCUCUGGUGUACCAGUUGUCGUGCCAACGGCAUAGCUGGGUAGCUAUGUGUGGACGGGAUAAGUGCUGAAAGCAUCUAAGCAUGAAGCCCCCCUCAAGAUGAGAUUUCCCAACUUCGGUUAUAAGAUCCCUCAAAGAUGAUGAGGUUAAUAGGUUCGAGGUGGAAGCAUGGUGACAUGUGGAGCUGACGAAUACUAAUCGAUCGAAGACUUAAUCAA